rnacentral:lncRNA from 1 species
AUGGGGGUCCCCGGGGCUCUGCUGAGGGGCUGGGGUCACAGACGGGCCACGCGCAGAAAAUCCACAGGGAGGGGAUUCACUCUCAGAACGGAGGCUAACAUGGUCAGUCUGCCCAAGCUUCUCCACGGCUGUGUCCCAGAACCCUCUCCUCUCCUUGUUCCCCCCCCUUCCCGAUCCCCCAAAGUCCUCAGGACCUCCCGACGGCCCUUUCCCCUGGACGCAGCCCCAGUAAUCUCUGGGACAUUGCUCAUGGUUCUGCGCCUCUGCCCAAGCCGGAAUGACCCAAGACCCAUGACCACGUCUCCGGCUUUCUCUUCCAGGUCUCGGUCUACCUUCGAGGACCCCCGUGAUCGCAUCGAGCCCCCACGCAUCGCGCGGAACAGCCUUGCUAUGGCAAAGCGGGCUGGCGAGCAUCUCUGGGGUGAAGGACGGACCCUGCCAGAGGCGGGUGUUGCAAACAGAGGCGGCCUCGGCCUCGGGCCGGUGCCCGGCGCCCGGGACCCACGCGGAAAUUGGACCCUCCGGGCGGCAGCUGAGGCAGGACCCUGCUGGGGUUUGGCCGGAGGACGGAGUCACUGCCAGAGAGUGCGGGGGCCGAGAGGAAACUGGGAAGGGCCCCGCUUCCCUGCCCUGGCCUCGUGGGUCGGUCCGGCCGGUGCCCUUGAACGGCCGUGGGGCGAGCUGGCCAGGGAAGGCUCGAGUCCAGCCGAGGCCGGGAGCCGCUGGCCCGGACCCGCUCGGCCUCCGCGGCCGCUCUGACCCCCUCCCUCGGGGCCCAGAGUCCUGUCAGAAACGGGACGCGGUUCUGGCCUCGUCCUCGAGACAACUGUCCACGGCGGCUCCCUUGGCAGCCGACUCCCCCGAUGGCCGUGACCUCUUCCAGAGGAGCUGAAGGUCAGAGGCAGCGAGACCCGGUCCCGCCGUGGGGACAGACGCUCGCGGUACGCCCUCCAUAUGGCUCAGUCAUUUGGGAUUUCUCACACGUCUCCGGGGAAGGCUGGAGGGGUUUGGCUGUGUCUCCUACGGCUUUGCAGCCUGUGUCUCUUCUCAUCAAUAAAAGAUUGGGUUUACUCA